UUCAAGUCCACAUAAUCUAGUGUAUAUUCCAGUCCAACAAAAGAGCAUUGAUACUCCACACAAUCUGGCUUGCAUGGGAAGAAGAGCAUCAAUUGUCCACAACACGCCACACAAUCUAGUCCUGCUACAGUCCAACAAUCUUAAAUCAGUAGUGGAAAAGGAGGUUGGGGAUAGAUCCCAGCUUAUUCAUCUCUACUCCAGCUAGGGCGAUGGGAGAAGGAGGCAUCGGGGUCAGCCACGCGCAGUGCUCGGCGAACCAGCCUCACCUUGCUUUCUUUCUCGUCCGCAGCCAGAGGAGGUUGUCGCUCCGUCCACUCACUCAUCUGCAUCGGUAGAAGAAGUAGUGGGAGCGGUAGAGAACUGGUUAUGGAAGAGAGAAGAGAGUGAUGGGGACAGAUGUGAGAGGAGGGGAGGAGGAGAGUUCUACCUCCGCGGCGGUGAGGAGGCGCAUCGGCAAUGUGCACAGAGGCGAUGGGGCGGUGAGAUCCAAUCUCAUACGAGAGAAG
rnacentral:lncRNA from 1 species